rnacentral:sRNA from 1 species
GCCCACCACCCUCGCUUUGGGGCCUUGUGUCCCGCCGCUCAGCCAGCCCUCCAUCCCCACAACAUUCUCUCCAGUGCAGUCUUUACCACCUCCCCAUUCCUCGCCCCAAGUUUAAACAGAGCAAGUUAGUAAGGUGAUUCUGGACAAGGAUUACGAAUGUGGAUCAAGCAGGUUUUAAAUCAAGAUUUAACAUUCCAACACAUAAAAAUUAUUUAUCCAACAGCUCCUCCCAGGAGGAUUCUCUAUGGGAGGAAGCAUGGCAAUGCAUUUAGCAUAUAGAAAUCAUCAAGAUGUGGCAGGAGUAUUUGCUCUUUCUAGUUUUCUGAAUAAAGCAUCGGCUGUUUACCAGGCUCUUCAGAAGAGUAAUGGUGUACUUCCUGAAUUAUUUCAGUGUCAUGGUACUGCAGAUGAGUUAGUUCUUCACUCUUGGGCAGAAGAGACAAACUCAAUGUUAAAAUCUCUAGGAGUGACCACGAAGUUGCAUAGUUUUCCAGAUGUUUACCAUGAGCUAAGCAAAACUGAGUUAGACAUAUUGAAGUUAUGGAUUCUUACAAAGCUGCCAGGAGAAAUGGAAAAACAAAAAUGAAUGAAUCGAGUGAUUUGUUAAUGUAAGUGUAAUGUCUUUGUGAAAAGUGAUUUUUACUGCCAAAUUAUAAUGGUAAUUAAAAUAUUAAGAAAUAACUUUCCUGACUUAUUUAUUAUUAAAAUGCUUAUCACUGUAGACAGUAGCUAAUUUUAUUAAAGAAAAACAAUAGACAAACAUCUGUGCAUAAUUUUUCAGACACAAUUCUGUAAAUAUUUGGAAAUCUUUUAAGUAUUUAAACAUUUAAAUUUUUGAAAUAAAGUAUUCUAAACUAAUAUAAAUAAGGACAAUGAAAAAACAUGAAAGGACUUAGCAUAGUGUUGUUUUAUCUUUUCUACAACUUUGUUUAAAUUACCUUUCCAAAGAUAUUUGUGUUUAUGUAAUUUUCCACGGAAUAACAUUAAUACUCUAGGUUUAUAAACCGGUUUCACAUUAUUUCAUUUGAUCAUCACAAGAGCUUUGUGAAGUAAGCUGAGAAGUUGUUACUGGUAUUUAAUAAUAGCAAUAGAGGGGUUAAAGACUUUCCCACAGCUUGUGGGUCAAGACAAGAAAUUCAGGUCUCCUAAUUCUCAGUGGAGCUCUAUUGCUGUUAACCCAAAUUGCUACUCUGUUUUAGGUCUCAAUUUCAUCUGUAAAAUGAUACUAAUAGUACUUAUCCCAUUGGAUUUUUGUUGAGAUUUAAAUAAAUAGCCAAAAGCCAAUAAAUAAUAAACACUCAAUAAAGAUGAACCAUAAAGAGAGUCAUGAUCUGGUUCCAGGAAAUACAUUGUUAGAUGACUGAAAAAUUGUAUUACUUCAAUGAAAAUACUACAUAUGACAACAUUUUCAUAUAUUAGUUCGUUCUCAUGCAUACAUAAUCUAAUUUUAUUUGAUCCUCACAACUGUUUGUUUGAUAAAAUAUACAUUAUCCCUAUUUGUAUAAAUAGAAUCAUACAAUACCUGCCUGCUUUCAUUCAACAAAAUUAUCUUGAGAUUUUUCCAUGUUGUAUACAUCAAUAGUUCAUCUAUUUUAUUGCUCAGUAACCCAUUGUGUGGAUGUAUCACUAUUUGUUUACACAUUCACCACUAACAGAUAUUUAAGUUGCUUCCAGUGUGAGGCUGUUAUAAAUAAAGCUGCUAUGAAUAUUCAUGUAAGA